GCGCGGUGGCGCAGGAGGGCGGCAGAGGACACUCCCUCUCUGGGCAUGCAAAUCGCGGGGGGAACUUCAGCCAAUAGUCCCCGGCUUGUCAAUCAAGGGCAGCAGUUCCUGGAGGCCAGAAAGGCGUGGGGGCGCUGGGGCACGGUCGUGAUUUCCUGCUCCGCACGUGGGCACGUCCAGACCCGGCCUGAGGAGCCGGAGCUGGGACUUGCCUCGGAAGACCGCGGCUAGGCUCUACCUGGUCCGGCUCCAGGAGCAUGGCCCCGGCCUCUCUCCUCACAGCACCAGUCAGGACCCAAGUCCACAGGUUGAAAAUGUGAGAGGGAAAAUUAGAUUAAAUAAAUAACUCUGCAUUUAUAUCCGAAUAGAGCAUAGCGAGUAAAUAAGUAUGCAUUCAUAUCCGAAUGGAGAAUAAGUAUGCAUUUAUAUCCGAAUAGCAAGUCCGCGCUACAAAGCAACCAUAGGCGCGAUCCCCAAAUGCCAGCUUUGCCACCAGUUCAUCGGAGACUUGGAUUCAGCAAUAUUUGCAAGGAGGAAGAAACCCCACUUUCUCUGCGGAGGGAAGGGAUUUCAAGCUCUUUGUAAGGCGGUCUCAAGCUAAGAAGCAAAUGUGGGAACUCGGUGAACAUUUCAAUAUGCUUUAAUUUUGAAGCUUCGCUGUUGGUGGCGGCACUUUCCAUGUCGUAGGCGCAAGCGUCCUUGGGUAUCUGCCUUGUGGUUUUUAAGAGAGUCGCGGCUUCUGGCUGAGCGCACUUACUGAAGCCUGGGGCUUCCCGCAUAGCUCAGUUGGUAAAGAAUCUGCCUGCAAUGCUGGAAAUCUGGGUUCGAUUCCUAGGUUGGGAAUAUCCCCUAGAGGAGGAAAUGGCAACCCACUCCAGUAUUCUUGCCUGGAGAAUCCUGUGGACAGAGAAGCCUGUCAGGCUAUAGUCUAUAAGGUCGUCGCAAGAGUUGGACAUGACUAUCUUUCUUCCUUUUCUUUACUGAAGUCUAGGCUUUUUAGAAAUAAAGGCUACUUCAGGUUAUUGGUGUUUUUUUUUUUUUUUUUUUUCUUGGAAUGCUUACUGGGAAAGGAAUACUGCAGGAGUGUGGUGCAAAAUGCCUGGAUAGCCCCUUUGACUCUGGCACUAGACAUAUGACAAAAUUCUAAUUUAUACAACCAGG
rnacentral:lncRNA from 1 species